GAAGUUUGUUUUGUUUUCGUGCGCGUAGGAGACGAGACGUACGAAUUAAAUCAGUCGAGGGAAGGAUAAACGUUAGAAAGGAAUUAAAGAGAAAACGAGAGUUUAUGUAAAAGAGAGUUAUAGAAUUUAUAGUGAUGUUUUGUUUUAAUUAGAAAAAUGUUGAGAGUUGUUUCAGAACGACACGUCAGUGGACGUGGCAGAGUGAACACGUGACGGGGAGGUGCUGAGACCUAGCGGAGAACGGAGGAACCGCAAGCGAGGGUUGGCGCACCUGAUGGAAUUCGGUGACGUCACGGGCUCAUACGGAGACGUGGACAGGCCGUGACCUUGUUUUGAUCAGCUGUACGGUAACUUAGCGAUAAGAAAAUAGACUAUUGGUUAAAUAAAUUUAAAUUUAAGUGUGUUUUAGAAGAAGAGGAACUUUCAGUAUAUUCCUUAAGAUGAGCUGAGCAGCAGUCCAGUUUACAAGAUGACAAGAGUUCGAGAGACAAGAUACAAGAUCACUGAAACAAGAGCCAAGACUGAAGAUUCAAGAGAAGAGAAAGCUGGCAGCCAUGGACUUACAAGUGGAGAUUAAUAAGGUCAUGUAAAGUUUUAUUUUUUUUUAUGGAAGACAGUAACUGGAGUUUUUUUUGUUAUAAACAUUAUUUACAGAACUUUUUAGGUUAUAGUAAUGUAAUGGAACUAGUGAGUUGUGGUAGCUGUCAAAAAGAACUAAUACCUUAAGUUUAAUUUUUAAAGUUAAUUUUCUUAAUUUACAGAGGGAUUAGUAGUUUUUUUUAAACCUUAUUUAGGUUGGAAUUUAAAUACAAUAGCUUAUUAUAAAUGUGUACGAACAGUUCAAGUUCACAGUACUGAUAGGUAGGUCAGAUGAUCUUAUUGAUUUUGAUGAUUUGUUGUUUUGAGUUGAUUUUUAAGUGUUGUGAAUUAGACAAUGAAAUAGUUCUGAAAACUUAAAUUAUUUCAAGCUAAGAAAUAGUAAAGUUAAUUGUAACUCAAAGGACACCAGAAUUUAAUUUUUUUUUGAAUUAGUAAUGUUUGAAAAUUUUAUACUUUACAAGAAAGGUUAUAAACAAACAGAUCGGAUGGAACAAGGAUGCAGUAAAUCACAAUUUCAUUUAGAAUUAUUGAUUAGCUUUUGAGGUUAUGAAGUAAAAGUAAUUAUAGUUUAAAAGUUUGAAUAAAAAAAAAUGUUUUUUUUUAUUUGUUUGAAAUAGAAAGUUUAAAAGUUAAUUAGUCAUGAUCUAGGUGGGUGAUGGGGUGGGAAUUGGCCACUCUUUUUCCCUAUAACCUCCCUAACAUGGCCUUCUAUUACAACUAACAGAAAUAAAGAAGAAGAAAAAUGAAGAAUUAUUAGUUAGAAUGUUUCUUUCAUGAAGAUACCUGAUGAACUUUUACUGUUUGGAAGAAUAGAAGCAAGGUUAGUCAGAUAUUUUUACUCAGAAGAAGAAGAAGAUAAAGCAGUUUUAUGACUCGACAAGCCAGAGAUUGGUGUUUCCCCUCUGCGCUUCUAUUGACUACGUUGUUUACUCUCAUGGGAUAGCUGGUUCGGCACCAUGGAGAGAGAUUGGUGGGCAUUGUGGUUGCCCCCAGAAGAAAAGAAGAGUAGAAGAGGUUAUGGGUGGGCCAUGUGAACUGACCUUCAACCCAGUUACUUCGUGGGGACUAUUUGCUGUAUAGAGAAGAUCAAGACUCAAGAGUUAGGGAAAAUCAUUGGAGGUCAUGUUUCCCUUCCUUAAGUUUUUCCUAUCAAAUUAUUUGCCUGAUUAGAUUAUGCUAAGGGUGGGAUACUUUAUGUUAGCAGUUGAAUUAAUUAAUUUUAUUUUUUUGUGUGUUUGCAUCCUUGCCCAUCGAUUGCAGUUUAGUAGUUAGUUUUGUAUUUGUCAGGCGUGAUGGUAAUGCCUGUUGAUGAUGUUUCAGAAUUGUAAUCUGUUCGUGAUGAGGAUGGCACAACUCCGAAGCAGAUGUGGGGAGAAGUUGUGAGCUGCCCUGGAAGCCAGUCCAGUAGCUGUUGGAGUUGAGUGGUGUUUGCUGAUGGCCAGCCCAGGGAGCUACUCUUCUCGACAACACUGACUUCGAGGAGUUGCACCAACCUUCACGAGAUAAGAGUUUAAUUAAUUGAAACACUGUAAGGACACUUAAUUUUUUUUGAAGAACGAAAGAAGUAUGGUAAUAAAUGGAAACCGAAAAAAAAAAAAAAA